rnacentral:rRNA from 1 species
AUGAUUUCCUCCGUGCACUUGCUGCGCCUGCUUCUUCUUAUUCUUCUUCUUCUCCUGGCCUCCGUCACGCUCACGUUCGAGUUCGACGCCGGUAUUUCCUUCCAGGCCCGGUACGAGGCCUACAAAGCAAAGCACGCACCGCCACCCAACUCCCUCGUCGUCACCCGCAGACCCCGCAGUCCCCUCGUCACUCUCCCGGGCACGUCCGAGUCCGAGUACCACGUCGUCGUCGGGUACGGCACUCCGGCGCAGAACCUCACCGUGGGGUUCGACGCCGGGGCGGGCGGAGCCACGCUCCUCCAUUGCAACUGCAAGCCAGGCGCCUUCGACCCGUCCCGGUCCUCCUCCGUCGCCCAUGUCCCGUGCGGCUCGCCGGACUGCCCGCUGGAAGCUUGCUCCGGACGGGGCUGCGCCAGCACCACCGUGGCCAAGAACGGCGCCGUGAUAUCGAGUGUCACCGUCGUGACAGACACGCUCACGUUCUCGCCGUCCACGCCGACCACCGUGGAUAACUUCAGGGCCAGCUGCAUGGAGAUGGGCGGCAGAACGGCUGGCCGCUCAUCCGGCCUUCUCGAUCUCGGCCGGGACAGCCACUCACUGCCGUCCCGAGCCCCUUCGUCUCCGGACACGGCGGCCUUCUCCUACUGCCUGCCGACUUGGACAGGCGCCCGGGGCUUCCUCUCCAUCGGCGCACCCCUGCCAGGCCCAGGACGCAAGGUGAGCUACACCCCGCUACGGAGCAACGCGGCCCUCCCCAACUCAUACUUCGUCCGGCUCGCCGGGUUAAGCCUAGGCACCGGUAGGCCGGUCAUCCCGGUCCCCGCCGGCGACGCGCUCAUGGCGCUGCGCACCACCUUCACCUACCUGAUGCCGGAGACCUACGCGGCCCUCCGCGACCAGUUCAAAGAGCAGAUGGCGCAGUAUCCGGUGGCGCCGCCGAUGGGUUUCCUCGACACGUGCUACAACUUCACCGGCCUGAGGAAGAUCGACGUGCCGCCCGUGACGCUCACGUUCGAUAGCGGCGCGAGCCUGGAGCUCGGCAUCCGGCAGAUGAUGUACUUCGAGGACCGCGACUACGUCUUCUCGGCAGGGUGCCUCGCGUUUGCCGCGCCGGCAUGGGCUGUCUACCCGGCCGGGGUCGCGGCGGUCAUCGGCACCUUGGCGCAGGAGACGACGGAGGUGGUGUACGACGUUCAUGCGGACAUGGUUGGCUUCGUCCCCGACCGCUGCGAACAAUAG